rnacentral:rRNA from 1 species
GGCAGCACAGGUAGCAAUACCGGGUGGCGACCGGCGCACGGGUGAGUAACGCGUAUGCAACUUGCCUAUCAGAGGGGGAUAACCCGGCGAAAGUCGGACUAAUACCGCAUGAAGCAGGGGCCCCGCAUGGGGAUAUUUGCUAAAGAUUCAUCGCUGAUAGAUAGGCAUGCGUUCCAUUAGGCGGUUGGCGGGGUAACGGCCCACCAAACCGACGAUGGAUAGGGGUUCUGAGAGGAAGGUCCCCCACAUUGGUACUGAGACACGGACCAAACUCCUACGGGAGGCAGCAGUGAGGAAUAUUGGUCAAUGGGCGUAAGCCUGAACCAGCCAAGUCGCGUGAGGGAUGAAGGUUCUAUGGAUCGUAAACCUCUUUUAUAAGGGAAUAAAGUGCGGGACGUGUCCCGUUUUGUAUGUACCUUAUGAAUAAGGAUCGGCUAACUCCGUGCCAGCAGCCGCGGUAAUACGGAGGAUCCGAGCGUUAUCCGGAUUUAUUGGGUUUAAAGGGUGCGUAGGCGGCCUUUUAAGUCAGCGGUGAAAGUCUGUGGCUCAACCAUAGAAUUGCCGUUGAAACUGGGGGGCUUGAGUAUGUUUGAGGCAGGCGGAAUGCGUGGUGUAGCGGUGAAAUGCUUAGAUAUCACGCAGAACCCCGAUUGCGAAGGCAGCCUGCCAAGCCAUGACUGACGCUGAUGCACGAAAGCGUGGGGAUCAAACAGGAUUAGAUACCCUGGUAGUCCACGCAGUAAACGAUGAUCACUAGCUGUUUGCGAUACACAGUAAGCGGCACAGCGAAAGCGUUAAGUGAUCCACCUGGGGAGUAC